CUUGCAGUUUACAAAUUUCACUUCAAUACCUUUCAUAUGCUCAGCCAAUGAAAAAAUUUCUAAGCGUAAAAUGAAAAGGAUGUUCAAAACUAGAGAGCAGUUUAUGAUUCCCACGAUCUGAGUUCAGUUGAAGGUUGCACAGUAACUACCCACAUACCACCACUGCAUACAAAUUAAUAAUCGAAAAGAGGCCAAUUUAUGAAAGCAGACUCCGGGACGCGCUUGGAACCCAUCCUUCUUCACACAUUCGAUCCCGGACGCCCACUUUCAGGAGCCCAGUCUCCUGGCCGUUGCUCCUCUCUCUCCCGAUCGUAAUAUUUAAGAUAUUUACAAGAAUACCCACAAAAAAUGAAGAAGGAACAUAUUGAUAAGAUCUCAAACAGACGUGUCUCUAUUUUUACACCUGGUUGGGAGAUAUCUGUCGGAGUAAAAACUACUGAUCUAAGCCAACUGAUUCUCAAAGAGUGGAAAAAGAAGAAGCAUGAGCAGUGGCGCAUGAAAAAGGCUGUGGAAGAAUUAAAACCUUCAACAACUCCUCAGAUCAUACGUAUUUGGAAUAAAGUCCAACAAAUAA